AUGACUCCAGCUCCAAGAGGCUGAAUGACUCCCAGACACUGAGUCACCCCCAGCCUUUGAGGUUUCCCAGCGGAUGCCACAUGGAGCACAGGUGAGCUGUCCCUGCCAGGCCCUGCCCAAAGUGCUGAUUUGUAGGCUGAAUAAACGAUAAUUGUUGUCUUAAGUCGCUGCGUUUGAGGUGGAUGGUUAUGCAACAAUAGAGAACUGAAAUAGAGGAUAGUUUGUCCAUGUGUCUCACAUCAUUCAGCCUGCUAGACCGGGUUUGUUUGCAUGGUAGCUAGCAGGUUCUGAGAGGCAGAGGGAGAGAGGGAGAUGGGGAAAGAGGGAGGGAGGGAAAGAGAGAGAGAGAGAGAGAAAGAGAGAGUGAAAACACAAAAGGUCUCUUGAGGCCUAGGCUCAAAACUAGCACACUGUUACUUCUAUUGCAUUCUGUUGUGCAAAGCAAAUAACACGACCAACCCAGAUUCAAGAGGAGUGGAGUAGACUCUGCCUUUUGAUGGGAGGAGUUGAAAGUCACAUCAAAAAGUGCUCAUAUAAAGCCAGGAAUGAAGCCUUGUGGUCAUUUUUGCAACCUACUACAUUAUGCCACCUCCUAAGGUUUAUGAAUAAUUCAGGCUUGCUUUGUGAUCUCAUCAGUCCACUCUUCCAAGCAGAGAUGUCAUCAGGAUACCUGAGAACAGCCUAGGGAAGGAAGGACGUGUACCAGAGCUAUGGCCUUGGCAACUGCUGUCCAUGAAGAGCCCCAGGGAUAGAGGCACCUAGAACACGCCUGUUGCAUUCUUGGCUACCUCUUCCUGAAGCCCUUUUGGGUUGAUGUGGAGGUGGGAAGCGGCAGAACACGGGCCUGUGGUACCUCACAGCCCAUAACCUUCAGGUGCUCCUGCUCUGGCCCUUUGAACUUCCAAGCCAUAUACUUUCCAGGAGAGUGGUUGGUAUUUCUACACUGCAUGCUACAUUUUAGCUUGGUCUAAAUCUGUUAGGAAAACUUCUGUUUGUUGGGAAGCAGUGUGACUUUAUGAAAAGAGCCCAAACUCUGGCAGAAGUCCCUAGGUUCAGACCCCAUUGCUGGCUGAAUGACACUGAACAAGCCAGUUUUGCUUUCCAGAUGUAGUUUCUACAUCUAUAAGACAGGAGUUAAAUGGUUAUGUAUGUAAAAUUCCUACCUUAAUGUUUGACUGCAAUCAGAACUCAAAUGUAGUCAUUAUUAUACUGAUUGUCAUUGUCACCCAGGCAAUGGGGUUGGACUAAGGUGAGAUUGAGGUAAAACAUCUGCUCGGCUACCCUCAGGUUCUAUAAUGGAACUUGCUGUCUGACUUUCCCUAAUGCUCUCCCUUGCCCACAGCCCCAUCCCUAUUGCGCACUCUUACUGGUGAACUCCACUUGACAGUUCCUUGAGGGUGCUGCCUAUUCUUGUCACCUGGUUAAAUACAGUCACCCGGCUCUCUGAAUGCGAUACAACAUGCCUGGCUAGCCUGCCUGAGACACUCCUAAAUGGAGAUGUGGCCACCCAUCCCAUCCAUCUCCCUCCCCAGGCUCCAUAUAAAAGCAAUAAAGAGAGUGGGAUAGUUGGUGACCAGACAAAAGCCUUUUUAUUUUGCCAGGCUGCAAAUGGUUUUAAUAAUAAUAAUGGUAGAAAACUUGGUGGUGAAAACCUAUGAGAAUAUCUGCUAUCUGUUUCGGUGCUCUCUCAUAUCAUUUAAUUAACCCUUAAGGUAUUACUUUCACCUCCAAGACCUUGCUUGUUCACAAAACCUUGACCAAACACAGGGACCUGAUCAUCCUGCCUUUCUUCAUUCACCAUGCAUUCUGAAGGAGUCCCGAGGCCUGAUGUUUCAGUCAUUUAUUCAUUUGGAGCUAGCCAAGGAGCCACAAAAAACAGUCUCAUUACCGAAUAAUCACAGCUAGUUACCUUUUUACAUCAAUCAACACCCCACAGCCUAUUGCACUCUAUGAGUAUUCCAUAAAUAAUAAAACAUAUUAUCUUAUGAGGGAGCCCUCAAAAGCUUCCUAGUGAUUCUCAGGCCCCUGAGUUUCUCUAUGACCUUCAGCAGCAUAGUCAGUCUUAGCAGCAGGGGCCUGCAGAGAGGGUCUCCUAAGAGAAAGAGGUUCCCUUGGGCAAAAAUCUCAAAACGUUCCUGGGCCUGGUCUUCCAGAGAUUGGCCUCCUUCCUUAAAGCACAAGCAGGAAGAGAGCUUCUGACUCAGUUAUGCUCAUGUAGUAAUACUCAUGAGAGUGGUUAAAAGACUAAGGUGUGUUUAUGUGGGUGUGUGUUGGAGAAGGGGAAUGGCGAAUUGUGUUGCAGGUAGAUGAUCCAUCAUUCAAGUUUACCAGUCCCAAGCGAACCAGGGUGCUUGGUCACCUUAGCUUUAGAAGGGGCCUCACACUUACUCAGUUAUUCUGGGAAGCAACUCACUAUUGUGGUUAAUAAUUUAGGAGCUGCGGUCAGACUGCCUGGAUUCUCACAUACUGUGAGACCCUGGGCCUGAUAGACCCUGUGCCUCAGUUUCCUCAUCUGUCGGUGGGGAUACUAAUUGUAUCUACUUCUUAGGGUUGUUGUAAGGAUUAAAUGACAUGUCACAGUAAAGCCCCUGACAUGUAGAAGGGUUUCAAUAACUGGCAGCCAUUGUAGGAUUACCUGGGAGCACAGCCCACCUACAUGGGCACUGCGUCUUGACUCUAGCCUGUUCAAGAGAAUCUAGUGUUGUCACUCUCAUUUCGCCUGCUGCCCAGAUGUAGCCCACUUAUCAAGACAGGGGAAUCACAAUACAGAAAGGAUUUCGUUUACAUAGAGCUGGCUGAAUGGAAGACUGGAGAUUUAUUAUGACUCAAGUCAGUCUCCCUGAAUCGAAGACUAGGGUUUUGCAAGGAUAGUUUGGUGGGAAGGUGGCCAGGGAAUGGGGAGUGCUGAUUGGUUGGGUCAGAUAUGAAGUCCUAGGGAGUAGGAGCUGCCAUCUUGUGUUGAGUUGGUUUCUGGGUGGAGGGCCACAGGACUGGUUGGUGAGUCUGGUUGGGGCCAUCAGGUUGUCAGAAAUGCAAAAGCCUGAAAAGACAUCUCAAAAGACCAAUCUUAAGGUCUACAAUAGUGAUGUUAUCUGCAGGAGUAAUUGAGGAAGUUGCAAAUCUUGUGACCUCUGGAAUGAUGGCUGGUAAUUAUUUAACCACACCUGCAUCUCAGUAGAUUCAGGCCCCUCUCAUCCUCCUAACUUGGUGGACUUUCAUUAGGUUUAUAAGAACGGUUUAGUUUUUG
ensembl:lncRNA